rnacentral:rRNA from 1 species
UGAAGGAACGUUGAAGACGACGACGUUGAUAGGCCGGGUGUGUAAGCGCAGCGAUGCGUUGAGCUAACCGGUACUAAUGAACCGUGAGGCUUAACCUUA